rnacentral:rRNA from 1 species
AAAUUUAAAGAAUUUGGCGGUAUUUUAGUCUUUUAGUGGUGCCUGUCCUGUAAUUGAUAGUCCACGAUUAAUUGUACUUACUUUAUUAAUUUGUAUAUCGUCGUAGUUUGAAUGUUUUAAAAGAAUAUUAAUGUUCAAGAUUUAUAAUAAUAAAGAAAAUCAGAUCAAGGUGCAGUUUAUAAGUAAGAAGAGAUGGGUUACAAUAAAUUUAUUUAGAUGGUUAUAAUAAUUAACAUUAUAAUAUAAAUUGGAUUUGAAUGUAAUAUAAUUAAGUUAAAUUAUAUGAUUUUAGCUCUAGAAUAUGCACAUAUCGCCCGUCACUCCCACUCUAAAGUGGGAUAAGUCGUAACAAAGUAGGCGUACUGGAAAGUGCGCCUAGAUUGACAAAUUAGAGCUUGUUAGAAAGCAUUUUAUUUACAUUAAGAAGUUAAUUGUGAAAAUCAAUUUAGUUUGAAAAUUAAAAUUUUAUUUUUAUUUUUUAAAGAAAAUAUUUUUUUUAUUUAGUAUUUUUUUAGAAUAAUAUAAAUAUAAUUAUAGUGAAUUAGUAUAGUGAUAGAACAAUGAAAUAUUUGAAAAAUUAAUUUUUUAAAAGAAUAAUUAAUUUUUUGUACCUUGUGUAUCAGGGUUUAUUAAAAAUAUGUUAAUUAUUUUAAUUAUCUCGAAUUUUUAAGAGCUAAUAGUUUAUAUAUUUAAUUGUAAAAUAAAUUUUUAUAAUAAAUUAUUAGUAAUGAAACGUUAGUCGUUUAAAAAGAUAUCUAGUUUUUUAAGAAAUAAAUUUAAUUUAGUUAUUUAAAUAUAUAAUAUUUAUUUAUUAAUUUUAUAUUUUAAAUAGGUAAUAUUUUAAGGGAUAAGCUUUAAAAUAUAUUUUUAUAAAUUAUUUUAUAAUUAUGAAGAAAAAUAGGAUUAGAAAUUUUUAUUUUUUAGUAUGUUAUUAUUAAUUUUUUUUUGUAAAUAUGAUUUUUAUUAAUUUUAAUUUUUAUAUUAAAAUGAUUUAUUUAAUUAUAAUUUAUAUGUAAUAAUGAUAAAAUUAGUAUAAUUUAAUUUAUAUUUAAUUUUUAUAAUAAAGGUUAAGUUAAGGAACUCGGCAAAUUAAUUUUUCGCCUGUUUAUUAAAAACAUGUCCUUUUGAUUAUAAUUUAAGGUCUAGCCUGCCCAAUGAGGAUUUAAAUGGCCGCGGUAUUUUGACCGUGCAAAGGUAGCAUAAUAAUUAGUUUUUUAAUUGAAAGCUGGAAUGAAUGGUUGGACGAGAAAAUUACUGUCUCAAUUUAAUUUAAUUAGAAUUUUAUUUUUAAGUUAAAAAGCUUAAAUAUAUUUAAAAGACGAGAAGACCCUAUAGAGUUUUAUAUCUAAUUUUAUAUUGAUUAUAGAGUUGAUUUAUAUUAAUAUAAUUUUAGGUAUUUUGUUGGGGGUGAUAGAAAAAUUAAAUAAACUUUUUUUUUAUUUUUU